CACAAAGUAUUUUACCAACUGAGCUGAGCUCCAGUUUUCCAAUUUAUCUAAUGGUCUUUUCCUUUGUAGAUUUGCUGAUAUGAUGAAAUAAUGAAAAUAUGGAGUUCCUUGGGCAGCUCCUAUAAGAUAAGGAAUUUUGACAUUUGUUUGGAGAGCCUCACUUGACCUCUUUUUGGGGAGCUGAAUUGGACUGAACGUGAGGUACCAUUUUUUUCUCAUGAGGUACUGAGUUUUCUCAGAAAAUAGAGAAAGCUAUUUUCUCCAGACCAAAUAUGUUUA
ensembl:lncRNA